rnacentral:rRNA from 1 species
UACGAAGGGGGCUAGCGUUGUUCGGAAUUACUGGGCGUAAAGCGCACGUAGGCGGGUCGUUAAGUCAGGGGUGAAAUCCCAGAGCUCAACUCUGGAACUGCCUUUGAUACUGGUGGCCUCGAGUGGGGUAGGGGCAUGUGGAACUUCCGGUGGAGCGGUGAAAUGCGUAGAUAUCGGAAGGAACGCCGGUGGCGAAAGCGACGUGCUGGACCCUUUCUGACGCUGAGGCGCGAAAGCCAGGGGAGCAAACGGG